GGCCGCGGGAAUUCGAUUCAGGCCUAACACAUGCAAGUCGAGCGAUUCUCUUCGGAGAAGAGCGGCGGACGGGUGAGUAACGCGUGGGUAACCUGCCCUGUACACACGGAUAACAUACCGAAAGGUAUGCUAAUACGAGAUAAUAUGCUUUUAUCGCAUGGUAGAAGUAUCAAAGCUCCGGCGGUACAGGAUGGACCCGCGUCUGAUUAGCUAGUUGGUAAGGUAACGGCUUACCAAGGCGACGAUCAGUAGCCGACCUGAGAGGGUGAUCGGCCACAUUGGAACUGAGACACGGUCCAAACUCCUACGGGAGGCAGCAGUGGGGAAUAUUGCACAAGGGGCGAAAGCCUGAUGCAGCAACGCCGCGGAGCGUAAAGAGGCCUUCGGGUCGUAAAGCUCUGUCCUCAAGGAAGAUAAUGACG
rnacentral:rRNA from 1 species